GAUUUCUGACUUGGCGCACCUGGCCCGCCACGGUUACGUGUGUGAGUGCCGGGAUGCGCCUGUCACUUUUCUGGUAAACCAUUAUGCUCUUCAUUGGGUGUGAUGGGUAGCCAGAUAUUUUACUUUGAAAAAAUUAGAGUGUUUAAAGCAGGCGUUUUGCUAUGAAUACAUUAGCAUGGAAUAAUAAGUUAGGACUUCGGUUCUAUUUUGUUGGUUUCUAGGACUGAAGUAAUGAUUGAUAGGGAUAGUUGGGGGUGCUAGUAUUCAGCGGCCAGAGGUGAAAUUCAUGGAUUCGCUGAAGACUAACUUAUGCGAAAGCAUU
rnacentral:rRNA from 1 species